CUUUUUAGAAUUUCACCGAAUUUGAUUUGAUCGGAGCUGAAAAUUGAAGUGAUCGGCGGAAAAUCCUAUAUAUAGCCAAUCGAACAAAAAGUGUACUGAAAUUACAUAAAUAAAUAUAAAGGGAAAAGUGAGAAAAGAUACAAAAGAGGCGAAGAAGAGAAAGAAAACGCGUAGAGAGAAAGGAAAGAGUAGUAGUAGUAGUAGUAAUGGCUUUACACUGAGAGAGUCGACUCUAU
rnacentral:lncRNA from 1 species